rnacentral:rRNA from 1 species
GACGAACGCUGGCGGCGUGCUUAACACAUGCAAGUCGAACGGAAAGGCCCUGCUUUUGUGGGGUGCUCGAUUGGCGAACGGGUGAGUAACACGGGAUUAUCCUUGCCUUGUCUUUGGGAUAACUUCAGGAAACUGGGGCUAAUACCGGAUAUGAGCUCCUGCUGCAUGGUGGGGGUUGGAAAGAUUCGGCGGUUGGGGAUGGACUCGCGGCUUAUCAGCUUGUUGGUGGGGUAGUGGCUUACCAAGGCUUUGACGGGUAGCCGGCCUGAGAGGGUGACCGGCCACAUUGGGACUGAGAUACGGCCCAGACUCCUACGGGAGGCAGCAGUGGGGAAUAUUGCACAAUGGGCGGAAGCCUGAUGCAGCAACGCCGCGUGCGGGAUGACGGCCUUCGGGUUGUAAACCGCUUUCGCCUGUGACGAAGCGUGAGUGACGGUAAUGGGUAAAGAAGCACCGGCUAACUACGUG